rnacentral:snRNA from 1 species
AUCGCUUCUCGGCCUUUUGGCUAAGAUCAAGUGUAGUGUCUGUUCUUAUCAGCUUAAUAUCUGAUAUGGACCUAUUGGUCCAAGAUAUUAAACUUAUUUUUGUAAGUGGUGUCCCUAUGAAGCUUGCUUCGAGGGCGCUAGGGUCGACCCGGUAUUGCACUACUUCCGGGAGUGGCCCGUCCCCC